AGGUGGCAGUGAAGGACUAGUGAUGCCUUAAAGCCUUGAAGGCCACCGAGGAUGGACCUCUCCCUGGUGGAGUCUUCCUGUGUGGAGACAGGAUCCAUUCCAAAGAGAGCUACCACCACAUGCUCUACUCGAUCUACGGAGCACAGCAAGGUCCUGGACCCACAAGGUGGCCUCUGCAGAGAGCUGGGUAAAUCAGAUGCCCCAAAUCUAUCUUUCUGACGAUUUUAAAUGAGUACAGCACACACCAGUCAUUAGGACUAAAAUCCAUCACGCUCACUGAAGCUGCUGCGUCCGUUCCCACCUGGAGAAGCAGAAGUCAGUGGAGGCUUGGCAGGAAAGCAGUGCCAAUGUUCACCAACAAGAUCGAAAGAGAACCUAAUGCUGACUGCUAAGGAAAUGGGAAAAUGCAAAACGAACCAAAAAUAAAAAUAAAAACUGGAAUUAAAGU
ensembl:antisense 1700054M17Rik RIKEN cDNA 1700054M17 gene